CCAUCGAGACAACCAACCCAGGCCAGCGAACAACCCCAUCGUUCCCUUAUUUUCUCCUCUGCCUCCCGCGAACCCUCGCCGCCGCCACCAACGCCGGGCGAUUCCGGCUACUUCCGACGGCCCUCGCUGGAGCGCAACACACCCACGAGCUCUCCUCGCAACGGUUCUUCCUUCCCUCUGGCAAAAUCCGCUCCUCGCGGCAGCAAGCCCUCGCGCACGACCCCUCCCUGCGGCUAGGGUUUCGGCUGCGUCCAACUCCGGCGCGGUGAGAUCUCCUCUUCCCUCGAUUCAUGCCCUCUCCUCCCCCCUUCUUCCUUCUCUCCCCGCCCUUUUUUCCCCUUCUGUUCCAUUACUUUCCUUCCUCCGUGCACUACUGCUCGCAACCUGUUUGUGUUUAUGCCCAGCAGCCUUUUUUCCUUCUGUUCCACUACGUUCCUUCCUCCGUGCACAACCUGUUGAUGUUAUGUAUAGAAUAAACAUAAGUGUUGUGUAAUUACACAAUGCGGUGCGGUCUUGGGUUAAAAUCUUGGAGUGUAUAGACUACAGAGUAUGUAAGCCUGUCGUAAAUAACCUUAUGCAUGUGAAAGAUAAGUGUUGUGUAAUUUAUAUUAUUGGCAGCAAGGUUUUAUGCGGUGGAGAAAACAACUAACAGUGUUGCUGCAUGGAGAGACAGGCUAUUUGUUGUUUACAUCCUUCAGUUGCAGUGUUUAUGACUGGUGUUUUUGGCCAAAUUCGAUUGUAGCAGCUGUUAGUUUUAAGCGUGCUCUGUAUAUGCCAUCAUAAUGUGUCUGCUGUCGCUAUUUGGAGAAGAACAGAGCUGACAGCACAUCUAGAGUGUUUGUGACAGUUCAAAGGAUCAAGGUGUACUGCAUGUUGCAUACAAAGUGAUUGGCAGGGAGGAGUAGGGUGCGCUAGUUAGAAGAUGAGGACGGCGUCAGGGUGAGGGAUAUACAGCUGAAGCACUCGUUAGCCUGCAGAUUGUUGGGACCUGAAGCUGGAGGUUAAUUUGGCCAAGUGUUUAAUUUGUUAUAGUCAGAGGAUGAAGAUAAGGAACACGAAGCAGAGCUAGUAGAUCAGGCCAUCCUCACUGCAUAAUCUGGUAUCAUUUUUCCUAUUACAUAUUAAGUCUCACUGUGGUAAUUAUUACUAUUAGCACGAUUUGUUGUGUCGUGAUCUGCUAGCAGCUGAUAUUAAAGUUCAUUCUUUCAUCCUGGAAAUAAAAAGUAGUGUUUGUGAUAUGCCACUGAUAUCAAUGGUAAUCAAUACUGUUCACUUAUUCAGAAGGCAAUUAAUCUGAUAGACCUAGCCGAUAGCUCAUGCUUUGUUCAUGUACCCUUCUUGUUAAAUGGGCAGCUCAUGGUUCUAUGUAGCGCAAUAUGUUUAAAUUUUCUGGGGGGUACCAUUUUUUACUCUGAUUAAGCAACAAAAGUGCUCAGAAACCUGCAUACAUAACCCUGAACAUUUAUGGUCUCUAUUGUUAUGUCUUGCUGUGUACGUUUAAUGCCUGUACAUACAUGGUUGUGUUUUGGUGGGUCUGGUCCUUCUUGAGACUGGAAUAAGCGACUCUUCAGAAGGAAAGUGUAGGGUAACUUUUAUUGCACAAGUUAACUUGAGACUGGUUAAAAAAAAGAUUGAACGAUGUGCUGCCUUGCAGUGUCUGCGACAAGAGUGGAGGCCUCCUUUGCGGCUUAAAUGGUCGGUAUUCAGUGGACUAUAGAUCUGUGGCGGUUAAAUUGGUUAAAUUUAUGACUGCUUUUGUUUCUAUUUGACAGCAUUUUGGUGUUGGGUGGUACGCUCGGUUUUCAUCAUUCAACUCUAAUUGUACGCUUUCUAAAAAUGCUAUCUUUUCCUCGCAAAACGAAGAGAUGAUCAACUUUAGGAAUUGCAACUUUAUCCAUGGUAACCAUGUGCAUUCCUGGACCAUUUAGUUUGAAUAGCCAGUGAGGAAUUAAGCAUAUAUUUUUGGCAUGAGCCCCUUUAAAUUGCUAGAUGAGAAGGAAUCUUAACUUAAUGAGCGUGAAUUGUAAUAUAUUAUUUGGUUGAACUGAUGCAAUUUGCGUACUAACAAGUUUUCACUUUCCCGACAUGGGCGCAGAGGUGAUCGACGCUGACUAGCGCGGCUGGUAAAGGGUACAAUGUUGGUAAUACAUCUGCUGUUGGUGAUGCCUUCUUGCUUGCUUGCUUGCGAAUGACCUGGGAAUUAUUUCUACUUGGUGCACAGCCUUUGCUUGUUGCAAUUUGCCUCAAAAGCUUGUAUUCAGAAUCUAUAACAAGAUUUCGUACUGCCUUGGAAUUCCUUAUCUCCUUUCACUUGUGGUCAUGCCUAGCACUAUCUUGGUUCAUUGUUUAAUUCCAGGAUUUGUGAGUUCCUAGUAGGGAACACAUGGACACGAAGCUGCGGCGGCAACGACGAUGAUAUCAACAUGGGGCUGCGGCGGCGACGAUGACGACGAUGAGGUCGACAUCGACACAGGGCUGCGGCGUGACGACGAUGACGGCAUCCUCACAGUGCUGCUGCGGCGGCGAUGAUGACUGACAUCAACACCAUCAAACACGGGCUUGUGGACGCGCCGGCGACGAUGACCUAUAGGCGUGGUGUAUAUUGUGUGUGUAUAUAUAUAUGUAUGUAUGUAUUAAUUAUCUAUAAUAGAUAUGUAUGAUUGACUGUAUGCAUAAAAUGUGCGUAUUAUAAAAUGUA